rnacentral:lncRNA from 1 species
UUGUAUUGUGUUGAGUACAUUGAUGCGUUCUUUUGUACUUAGAUGGGAACUCCAUCUCUUAACACAUAUUUGUCAUCUUGCUUUAGACAAAACAACGGAUCUCUCUUUAGAGCAAAGACCUUGACUAAUCAUGGGAGUAUAUGUAGGCCUCACUAGUUAUAGAGCGCCUAAGCCGAUUGAUCAUCAAUACAGUCAUUGAGUGCCUUAUCGAGACUGUGUCUUCCCAAGAUCUUUUUCUUCGGAUGUUGAUACAUAUUGGCAUCUCUUGAUCCAUCAAGAGUCCAUGUAAAUCCGGAAUGAACACGCAAAGGCAUAAUUCACCAUAUCCCUUCCAAAUCAAGUAGAGUCCAUGUGCGUUUCAAUACAUUUAGCAAACGCAUGCUCCUGUGGUUUGGAGCCACUUGAUUCGGAUGAAUGAAGUCCGUUUAAGAUCUUCAUGCAUAUCUCUGAUCCCGUAGAGAUGUUAUUAUGACCACAUUCAUAGGCUGUUUGUUCAGUUAUUCGGAAACUACCAAACUGACAAAGUAGUGGAGUUCAAUGACAUCCAUUACGAGAGCAUAUCUCAUCGUAGUCGAUCCCAGUGCGUGUUAGUGAAAGACCUUGCGCCAUAAGGUGAGUCUAAGCUCUUACUCUCACUACGCUAUCUAACAAAGGCACAGUUGAUAGGGUUUAGCUUGCGGUGUCGGCAUCCACCUGCCCAAGGACCUAUCUCUUUGUUAAUGCUGGAUCGCAUCUUUCCAUUAGGCCAAUCAACUAAGUUGAUAUCCAUCAACGAAGGGUGGUUCGAUAGUAGACUCAUUAUCUCACGUCCUCAUGUACACUAGUGUAAUACUUGUAGAGAUCUCUAUAUGGAUUGGAUUUGACAUUGAGGCGUCCCCCAACGAUAAUCACAAUUCAGACUUCAUGAGACGGAUUUGAGUAUCACUGAUCAAUGGAUCAGGU